UCACCAAAAGGCAAAUUUAAUGGCAACGGGAGACAAAGUCGACUCGACUCCGCGGCCAUCAGCUUUUCUUCUCUCUAUAUUUAUUUCUACAGCUCCUCCACCAGUACAAGUGCAUCAUCAAUAUGUUUCCAUGGUAAUGGUUCAACUUAUCUCUAGUUCUCUGUGAAUUUUCUAACUGCAGCAGGUGAAGGGAUGAAUGGAAUCGCUAUGCACUGGUGCUGGACUAUCAUACUCCUUCGUGUGCCCUCCACAGUUUAUGCAAGCUCAUAACAGGAGAUACUCUUAAGUUCUUCAAAGCACGACUGCCACUCUUAGAACAGGAAGAAAAACAGAGAAAUUAGUUGGUGAUCAAUCGUGAGCAUUUGAAUCAUCUUGGUGGUAUUGCCAAUGGCAUUCCCGGGUGGUGAUGGCGCCAUCGGGGACUAAUACUUCAGAACUUCUGAUCCACAGGUAUGCCCUGCACCGGGUGCUUCAGUGGGGGCAACACCUGACCAAGGACAUAUUUGACUCAGUUCGAGCCGGCGUGAUGAUAUGGAAGGCGUAGCAGAAUAAACAUAUAUGGGGAGCAUAUGGAUGGCUACAAACCCAUCCUCCCAUCCGUCUGCAACGUGUGCUAAGGGAUGAGCAACAUCCGCCGGCGCUCCAUCACUGGCCGCCGCUCCGGCGAUAGUGGGAAGGGGAAGAUGGCGGUAGCAUGCGGGGUUCACUAGGAG